UUUGAUAUAGUGGAACUGCUGCGAUGAAAUAUUCUCUUGAAAUACUCCCCAGAGAUAUUCUCAUAAUGGUUCUGUAUAAGAUUUGUAGUGUUAAAAGUUCAGACUGAUCCACCAAACUGAAUAUCAAGUUAUAUAUCUAAAGAUGAUAUAGGAUAUAUGACCCAAAGUAUUGAGAAUGCCCAGACACUGACCGAAGAAAUAUGCAAAAGCAGGAUGAAAUAUGUGUUCUGAUAGAGUACCAGUUUAAAAAGAAGUUAACAAUAAACCACCCUGUUUGAGGUAGAACAUACGUCAUAAGGUACCAACCUGCUACCAAUACAGAGUUACCUGAAACUGAAGACCUGUCAGUUAAAGACCCACCAAGAUGAACUUGUUGAGAGUGGAUAAUUUUCAUAUAAUGUCUACAAAGAUGUAAUUAUGGAAGGCUCUCUAUGAAAACAAAAGUUUAUGUCAGUCAUUAGUUAUUGUAUAUGGUGCCAUUGAAGACCAAAUAUAUUCACAGACUGGAUCAAAUCAAUCUCAAGAGGUUUAUGUUAUCAUGUAUUGUAUGACCUAUGUGAUUAUAUAGCAAUCCAUAAUGUUAUAAAUAGUUUGAUAUUGUCAGAUCCAGCUGUAUAUGUAACUAUGAAAGUGUGUAAAUUAAUUAAAAUUCUUUGUAGCAUAUAUAUUUACUAUUAGUUAUUUAAUAAAGGCAUUAAUUUUCAAGGGACAAGGUAUGAUUAGUCACAUUACCCUGAUUAUGUUUGAAUAUAUUAAGGUGGUUUCUUUAGUCAGCUUUCAAACUGUUAAUUAUGUUAUCAGAAUGGCUCAUAAAUGUGUUUCAGAAGUUUUUUUUGAAAACAAAGUUUCUGAAAUUUUUUUAUUAUUUUUUUUGGGGGGGGG